GCGGGAGGGGUCGCGCCCGGGGUCACGCUAGGGCAGAGCGGGCUAGACGAGGCCGGGGCGGGGGCUGUGGGCAGGGAUGGCGGCCUUCCCGGGGGCCCGGGAGCGGGAGGAAGGCAGCGGGGCGGGCGGAGCCGCGGGCCGGCGGGCGCGGGCCUUGGGCCCCGGGGUAGGAAGGAGCCUGAGCGGCUCGGGCGGCAGGUGGGCCGGGCCGGGGGGAGGCCGGCCUCGAGCCCGGCAGUGCCACCAUCCAUCCCCCUUUUCUUCCAGACCAGGGCUGGUGCGCCCAGCUGGGGAGGAGGCCGGGUCUUGUGGAGACUGGACUUAGCUUCGCGGGGCGGCAGUGCCCCCCACCCUGGACUUUGCCUAGAUCUGGUGCUAACCUCUCCCGUGAGCUCCCUCUGCCCUCUCCUCCCUCCUAACUCUGAGGUUACCCCUUCACUUAAAACCUUUCUGGUCAUCUGGUAAGCCCUGGGGAGUCCAGAGCCCCUGGAGUCGGUAUUUGAUGGUAACCCGGUCGAGUUGGCUUGUGGGUGGGGUGGGGCGGUGUGGCUUUGGCUGAGGGUGGAGACUGAACCGACCACUCUUGGAUGGGCCUCUACAGCAGGGGUCUCCACCGGAAGUCACCGGCCGAGGUUUGUGACUGUAGUGUCCAUCCUGGCGAGCAGCUGGCACCCGGAGAAAUGGAGCCCCUGCGGGUGUGAGUCAUAGCUGUGCAGGCGGGGACAGCCUGGAGGAUGCGGCCCGCUUAAGUUGACGCCCGCAGAGUGAAUUCCCGAGUCUUAGGAGGAGGAAGCUCGCCAGUGCCAUGUGUCCAGCCAGGCCUUGCUCAGGAAGCCCUGUAUUCAGGCGGCCAGCCACCCCUUAAGUUUAUGAGCUUGUGGUGGGGGGGGCGAUCAGAAGUCCAAAGCAGACGCAUCCGUCCUUGAAUGAGUGAAUGAAUGCUCUGGGAGCACCCUUCUCCAGGCACGUGAAUGCCAGCAGGCACCCCCUUCUUUCCUGGGGAUAGAGGUUUUUCACAUGCUGCAUCUUCCAGUCGUUCUAGUUUUGUGCCACUACCUUUGCUUCCAGAAGAUUCUUUAAGCAGUAGAACAUUGUAAACGUUGGUGCCACAGCGCAGAAUGACGCCCUGUAUAGAUGGCUGCCGACGGAGCCAGUGACCUCGCCUACCUACCCACGUGCCUGUGUACUGGCUGCAGAGAAUGUUAAUGCUCUUAGAGAACUUUCGGGUGGUGGGGAAAAGCUGUUCAAUUUUAAAUGCCUUAGGCUGAGGGGACCUUAUUAAACAUUGUCAAGUUGGGGGGGGCGGCGCGGGGUGUCAUGUUGUGUGGUACUCUUCCGCCUCAUCGUUCUCAUUCUGUGUGGGUGGUGGCAGGUUUCAUCCGGAGGCCUGACAAGGUGUACAUGCUGCUGAGUUGGAAAUGAUGGGUGGGCUGGUACCGACCUUUGGGGUUUUGAUUAUUUAUUUCUGAGUGCUAGGCAAGUGCUCCGCCUCUGAGCUACAACACCACUAGUUCAUGGUUUUCAUUCUUGAUGCAUUUUGUUCAUACGUGCCGGCAUGGGUUGAAUGCAUUGGCCUUCAGUUUUUAAAUUCUGCACGUCACUGGAA